UACGGAGGGAGCUAGCGUUGUUCGGAAUUACUGGGCGUAAAGCGCGCGUAGGCGGCUUUGUAAGUUAGAGGUGAAAGCCCGGGGCUCAACCCCGGAACUGCCUUUAAGACUGCAUCGCUUGAAUCCAGGAGAGGUGGAGUGGAAUUCCGAGUGUAGAGGUGAAAUUCGUAGAUAUUCGGAAGGAACACCAGUGGCGAAGGCGGCUCACUGGACUGGUAUUGACGCUGAUGGUGCGAAAAGCGUGGGGAGCAAACAGG
rnacentral:rRNA from 1 species